rnacentral:sRNA from 2 species
AUGAGCAGGCACCUCUUGUUGAACUUUGGUUAUACAUAUAGACCCUGGUGACUGUUCUCUGUCUAUCGUUAUUUUAAGGGUCUCACACUUGCUAGAAAUUAUAGUUCUCUUUUCUGUAUAUGUACGGAAUAGAGCGAAGCGGCUACUAGUAAUAAUAGGCAGUGAAAAGCGCCAGCUAAAAAUAGCAAGUAAUGAGUUACAGAAAAUUGUAAUGAGGAACAGGCACAAGCAAGCCCUGAGCGCCUCCCGUAUGAUAGAUAGCAGUUGUCCGUUUCUACAGCACAUUACCCUCCUUAUACG